GUGGCUUCGUGGUUAGAGCGUCCACCUCGGCUGCGGAAGGUCGCUGGUUAGAAUCUCGGCAAAGUCG